rnacentral:rRNA from 1 species
AGACGGUACCUGUGAAGGAAGCUCCGGCUAACUACGUGCCAGCAGCCGCGGUAAUACGUAGGGAGCAAGCGUUAUCCGGAAUUACUGGGUGUAAAGGGAGUGUAGGCGGGACUGUAAGUCAGAUGUGAAAUAUACCGGCUCAACUGGUAGACUGCAUUUGAAACUGCGGUUCUUGAGUGAAGUAGAGGUAAGCGGAAUUCCUAGUGUAGCGGUGAAAUGCGUAGAUAUUAGGAGGAACAUCAGUGGCGAAGGCGGCUUACUGGGCUUUAACUGACGCUGAGGCUCGAAAGCGUGGGGAGCAAACAGGAUUAGAUACCCUG